AGAGUUUGAUCGUGGCUCAGGAUGAACGCUAGCGGCGCGCUUAAUGCAUGUAAGUCGAGCGAUGAGUAUCUUCGGAUACAUCAGCGGCAGACGGGUGAGUAACACGUGGAUGACCUGCCCUCAAGACCGGGAUAACGCGUGGAAACAGGCGCUAAUACCGGAUGGACUUCUGGGGUCGCAGCCAGAAGUAAAGCUACGGUGCUUGAGGAGGGGUCCGCGGCCCAUCAGCUAGUUGGUAGGGCAACGGCCUACCAAGGCGAAGACGGGUAGGGGGUGUGAGAGCACGGCCCCCCACAAUGGGACUGAGAGACGGCCCAUACUCCUACGGGAGGCAGCAGCAGGGAAUAUUGCACAAUGGACGGAAGUCUGAUGCAGCGACGCCGCGUGGAUGAUGAAGGCCUUCGGGUCGUAAAAUUCUUUUUCGGGGGGAAGAGAAAGGACGGUACCCCCGGAAUAAGCGUCGGCUAACUACGUGCCAGCAGCCGCGGUAAUACGUAGGACGCGAGCGUUAUCCGGAUUUAUUGGGCGUAAAGCGUCUGUAGGCGGUCAGGUAAGUUGGACGUGAAAGCUCCGGGCUUAACCCGGAGAGGCCGUUCAAUACUGCUUGACUGGAGGGCGUGAGAGGGGAGCGGAAUUCCCGGUGUAGCGGUAAAAUGCGCAGAUAUCGGGAGGAACACCAGUGGCGUAGGCGGCUCCCUGGUACGUACCUGACGCUGAGAGACGAAAGCUAGGGGAGCGAACAGGAUUAGAGACCCUGGUAGUCCUAGCCCUAAACGCUGGAUGCUAGGUGUGGGGCCGAAUAGGCUCUGUGCCGCAGCUAACGCGCUAAGCACCCCGCCUGGGGAGUACGGCCGCAAGGCUAAAACUCAAACGAAUUGACGGGGCCCCGCACAAGCAGCGGAGCGUGUGGUUUAAUUCGAUGUUACACGAAGAACCUUACCUGGGUUUGACAUGGAGGUGGUAGGGAAGCGAAAGCGGACCGGCUCUUCGGAGAGCCUUCACAGGUGCUGCAUGGCUGUCGUCAGCUCGUGCCGAGGUGUCGGGUUAAGUCCCGUAACGAGCGCAACCCUUGCCCUUAGUUACAAGUGUCUAGGGGGACUGCCGGCGGGAAGCCGGAGGAAGGUGGGGAUGAUGUCAAGUCAGCAUGGCCCUUAUGUCCAGGGCUACACACGCUACAAUGGACGGUACAAAGGGCAGCUAAGCCGCGAGGUGGAGCGAAUCCCAACAAAGCCGUCCGUAGUACGGAUAGCAGGCUGCAACCCGCCGCUUGAAGCUGGAGUUGCUAGUAACCGCGCGUCAGCUAUAGUGCGGUGAAUACGUUCCCGGGGCUUGUACACACCGCCCGUCACGUCAUGGGAGUCGGUAACGCCUGAAGCCGGUAGCCUAACGCGCAAGCGAGGGCGCUGUCGAAGGCGGGGCUGGCGACUGGGACGAAGUCGUAACAAGGUA
rnacentral:rRNA from 1 species